rnacentral:rRNA from 1 species
AGCGAACGCUGGCGGCAGGCUUAACACAUGCAAGUCGAGCGGGCAUCCUUGUGGUGUCCGCGGCUGACGGGUGAGUCACGCGGGGGAACGUGCCCUUCGGUUCGGAAUAACUCGGGGAGACUUGAGCUAAUACCGGAUACGUGCGAGAGCAGAAUGGUUUAUCUGCCGUAGGUCCGGACCGAGUCUGAUUAGUUAGUUGGUGAGGUUACGGCUCACCAAGGCGACGAUCAGUAGCUGGUCUGAGAGGAUGAUCAGCCACUCUGGGAGUGAGACACGGCGCAGACUCCUACGGGAUGGAGCAGUGGGGGAUGGUGGACAGUGGGGGGAACCCUGAUCCAGCCAUGCCGCGUGAAUGAUGACGGCCUUAGAGUAGUAAAGCUCUAUUCACCGGGACGAUAAUGACGGUACCGGAGGAAUAAGCCCCGGCUAACUUCGUG